GAUGAAGAACGUAGCGAAAUGCGAUAAGUAGUGUGAAUUGCAGAAUUCAGUGAAUCAUCGAAUCUUUGAACGCACAUUGCGCCCCAUGGUAUUCCGUGGGGCAUGCCUGUUCGAGCGUCAUUUACCCCCUCAAGCUCCGCUUGGUGUUGGGCGUCUGUCCCGCUUCGCGCGCGGACUCGCCCCAAAGGUAUUGGCUGCGGUCGUGCCAGCUUCUCGCGCAGCACAUUGCGCUUCUCGAGGCACCGGUGGGCCCGCGUCCAUCAAGCUCACCCCCCCAGUUUGACCUCGGAUCAGGUAGGGAUACCCGCUGAACUUAAGCAUAUCAAUAAGCGGAGGA
rnacentral:misc_RNA from 1 species